UACGAAGGGGGCUAGCGUUGUUCGGAAUUACUGGGCGUAAAGGGCACGUAGGCGGCCAUUCAAGUUAGGUGUGAAAGCCCUGGGCUCAACCUAGGAAUUGCACUUGAUACUGUUUGGCUUGAGUUCGGGAGAGGUGAGUGGAAUUCCCAGUGUAGAGGUGAAAUUCGUAGAUAUUGGGAAGAACACCAGUGGCGAAGGCGGCUCACUGGACCGACACUGACGCUGAGGCGCGAAAGCGUGGGGAGCAAACAGGG
rnacentral:rRNA from 1 species